AGUCAUUUGUCGGAGCUUCUUAUAUCGUUAACUUCAUAGUAUGUACCUACUUUUCGGACGGGUAACCUCUCAAAAUUUCCACACGUGCAUAAUUCUCUCCUCCGCGCGUGCAAUGCUUCGUUCGAUCGUAUCGAGUGGCAUCGGUAGCGCGUUACGGAAUCGUCGCCUCUAUUCGGAGCGUCGGAGGCGAAAGGGCGACGGCACGAAAACCGACAUAUUCGACGAACGAGCCGCGGCCUCGCAGGAGGAGUACUUUCGGAAAAAAACCGCCCGACAGUUGCAGCUGAUCAGGGAACAGAUGCGCAAAGAAAGGGAGGACAGGGAGAAGCGCGAAAAAGCGGAGGAGAAAAAUUCUGAGAGCGAAGAGAAGCCCGCCACGAAAAAUUCGUCGUGAUCUCCGUCAAGUCCGGCAAUAGGCUACUCACGUGCAGUUCAGGUUUUCCUGGAGUAUCUGGACGAUCGUGCCGAAGAAGCCCUUGAUGCCCGUCAUGAGACCAGACUCGUCGCGCUGUAUCAUCGAGAUCGGCGGGUCCUGCAAAAAUCACCCUAUAAUUCACGAAAAUAAACCGAAAUAAAGCACAUA